ACCACUUCCGACACCAUCAGUAGAAGAAGAGAAAACUAGAGGAAAACCAUUUCCUGAAAUACCACUUCCUACACCAUCAGUUGAAGAGAAGAGUGGAGAAACACCACCUCCUCCUAAACCCCAAUGAUGAAUUUUCUUUAACUUCAUUCCUAUUGAAGCACAAUUUAUUUGGCACAGUGAUAGUUGUAGCAAGUGUAAAUAGUAAUAUAGCAUUAUUAUUUUUUUCCUUAUCUUUAAUAAUUAAUGUAAGCAUGUUUUUGCUUUUCAUUAGCUGAAAUAAAGGAAUAGCAUUCUCUCCA
rnacentral:lncRNA from 1 species